UAUCUGGGUGUGAGAUAUUCAUUCUCAAUGCUAUCAUAUAUCCUUAUCCAUGUAAGGAAGUCUUGAUCUUCCAAGGAUUCAUUUUGUGCCGAAAAUCCUACACUACACGUUGCUUGAAUCAGCUUUCAACUAAAUAGUAGAUAAACCAAGGCUUUUGGUGAGUUGCAGGUCUUGAAGAAAUUCAGUGCUCUAGGUUUGUUUGACUGAAUAAUUUCAUCCGAGUACAAGUAUGAAUAAGUCAUUCUGCCUUAGAUAUUCUAAAUAUUUCUGCUUUACCUGAGUGGCCUGGGUUUCUGAGUGAAAGCAUGAAAGCUCAAAUGCAAACAGGAGGAAUGUUAACAAGUUUCCUUCCAUACCAUGGUGUUACAAGUACUUUUAAUACUGCUCUCUCCUCAUGGUUUCGUGAAUGUGAAUUCCACAUGGAUCUCUUCAUUUCUGUUCCAAUCCCAAGUGUCUACACUUGGAUUCCCUUUCACAAGGGUCACUGCACUGGUGUUUUGUUGUUGAACUUUGAGAAGUUCUGUAUAUUGUUGAAUGCGGAGAAUUUCAUUCUUAGCUGUUGAUUUGGUUAGAUCAGUCAAUUUUAGCUCUAAAUAUAGAUUGGAAGCUCAUCCCUUAAUACUCUCUAAUUAACUUUGUGAAGACGUCAUUGUCAUCUGGACCAAGAAAUGAGAUGGUUUAACACUUUCCUUGCAAACCUUUGUAGGAAUUUUUUUUUUUUUUUUUUUUUGCUUCCCUUGCAUUCCCCUACUCGAAUUUUCUUCUCACCAGUGUUUCGUAUUUCAAAACGUGUU